AUACGAAGGGGGCUAGCGUUGUUCGGAAUUACUGGGCGUAAAGCGCGCGUAGGCGGACUGAUCAGUGAGGGGUGAAAUCCCAGGGCUUAACCCUGGAACUGCCUCUAAUACUGUCAGUCUUGAGUUCGGGAGAGGUGAGUGGAAUUCCUAGUGUAGAGGUGAAAUUCGUAGAUAUUAGGAAGAACACCAGUGGCGAAGGCGGCUCACUGGCCCGAUACUGACGCUGAGGCGCGAAAGCGUGGGGAGCAAACAGGAUUAGAAACCCUAGUAGUCC
rnacentral:rRNA from 1 species